rnacentral:rRNA from 1 species
ACUUUACAAAUGGAUCUCUAGGCUCUCAUAUCGAUGAAGAACACAGUGAAAUGUGAUAAGUAAUGUGAAUUGCAGAAUUCAGUGAAUCAUUGAAUCUUUGAACGCAUCUUGCACCUUUUGGUAUUCCAAAAGGUACACCUGUUUGAGUGUCAUGAAAAUCUCUCAUCAAAUUAAUUUUUGGUGGAUGUUGAGUGCUGCUGUUAUCUAGCUCACUUUAAAUAUAUAAGUUCUUUCUACUAUUUGUUGGAUUGACUUGGUGUAAUAUCUUUUUCAUCAAGGAAAGUAGCAAUACUUGCCAAUAAUAACGGAAUAAGGACUCCUAAACAAUUGAUUUCAUUAUCAAUAAUUUAUUCAUUUUUAAGACCUCAAAUCAGGUGGGACUACCUGCUGAACUUAAGCAUAUCAAUAAGCGGAGGA